UACGAAGGGGGCUAGCGUUGUUCGGAAUCACUGGGCGUAAAGGGUGCGUAGGCGGGUCUUUAAGUCAGGGGUGAAAUCCUGGAGCUCAACUCCAGAACUGCCUUUGAUACUGAAGAUCUUGAGUUCGGGAGAGGUGAGUGGAACUGCGAGUGUAGAGGUGAAAUUCGUAGAUAUUCGCAAGAACACCAGUGGCGAAGGCGGCUCACUGGCCCGGUACUGACGCUGAGGUGCGAAAGCGUGGGGAGCAAACAGG
rnacentral:rRNA from 1 species